GCUGGGCGUGGUGGUGCGUGCCUGUAGUCCCAGCUACUAAGGAGGCCGAGGCAGGAGAAUCGCUUGAAUCCGGGAGGUGGAGGUUGCAGUGAGUCGAGAUCGCACCACUGCACUCCAACCUGGGUGACAGAGCGAGACUCUGUCUCAA
rnacentral:SRP_RNA from 2 species